UAAUUUGUUUAGGGCAAAUCCUCAUUUAGUUAUGAUAAACUUAUAUCUGCUUGCUUAAAAUCACAUGUUAUCGCAAGCCCGGCUAUAUCAUUGACAUUGAAAAAUAAAGGACAACUACUGUGUGAACAAUAA
rnacentral:pre_miRNA from 13 species